GAGCAGCAGGUCUUUUCAGAGACACGUGGGGCUACAGCGAGGCGCGGUCCUGGUACCCCGGGCUCUCCGAGGGGCCCUGAAAGGCACGCCUACCGGGAGCAGCUUUUCUGUUCCAGGAUCCCAAGGAGGAUACCACGUACCAUGUAGUCAUCAUGUCUCCUCAGGCUCCUCUUGGCUGCUCUUCCUCAAAUCUCUACCUCCUCCAUGUAGGCCUCUGCAAUCAAUUCAGUCUUUCAAGAGGUUAGAGAAGGAAAGGAUUAAGGAAUACCUGCGGCCUCUUUCUAAUUGUUUUGCCUGUCAAAAUGCUGUCUUCCCAAGAGAACGUCAAUAAACCUCAGGAUUUUUUUUGUUGAAUGAUGAGAAUGAAAUUUUAUGGUUCUGAUGAUAUAUGCUUAAAUAAAAAGAUGACUGAUAUCAAAUAUUUUAUUACUGAAUUAGUU